AAUAGCACAGAAAUGGGAACCUGGGGUUUGGAUUCCUGGGAAAAGAAGGAAAUUUGGAAUAACAAAAACAGGAACCUGGGGUUUGGACUCCCAGGAAAGGGAGGAAAUUGGGAUUUGCAGCAGCUGGAAGGGAGUUUGGGAGCCUGGCAGGUCCUGGCAGCCCAAAGCCGAGCCCAGCCCCAGGCCCUGGCAGCCCAAAGCCGAGCCUGGCAGGUCCUGGCAGCCCAAAGCCGAACCUGGCAGGUCCUGGCAGCCCAAAGCCGAGCCCAGCCCCAGGCCCUGGCAGCCCAAAGCCGAGCCUGGCAGGUCCUGGCAGCCCAAAGCCGAGCCCAGCCCCAGGCCCUGGCAGCCCAAAGCCGAGCCUGGCAGGUCCUGGCAGCCCAAAGCCGAGCCUGGCAGGUCCUGGCAGCCCAAAGCCCAGCCCCAGGCCCUGGCUCGCGGCCGUCCCUCGUUCCCAGCCCUGCCCACAUUCCAUGAAAUCUCGGCCGUGCCUCGGUGCCACCUCGGUGCUUUAUUCCCGUUCCAGGGCACGGGGCGGGCUCUGAUCCUGCCCUGGGAACCGAAUCCCGGGACAGGGAUCGGGGUGGGAGCUGGACU